UCGAGCCUCAUGGAUUAGUGAUCUAAAAAAAUAAAAUAAAAAAUAAGAAAAAUUAAAAUAGAAGUUUAUGGGAUGGGAAUUUAGGGGGGGAAUCGAGGCGGGACUCAUACUAUUCCGGAAUUGUUUCAGUCCCAACUGAAUCUGUAUCCAAAUCGAUAACCUAGAUCGAAAAUCACUAGUAUUUAAAAGUGUGGUUUUACUCAAUAAAUUGAACGGAUGAGCAUAUCAUCCAUUGACAAAAGAAACCAAUCUUUUUGGAUUUCAUGUGGAUGGAUAUGUCAUUUCUACAACCAUUGUUGUGCUUUUAUACAUGAAAAAUGACAUUCCUCCAACUUCUUCGUCCGUGGCCUCAUUUCAUUACACAACGAUAUUCCUCCAACUUCUUUGUCCGUGGCCUCAUUUCAUUACACAACCUGCGCCAGAUCAAAGCCUAAUAUAUGAAUUGUCGCUAAAAAUUAUCAAACAUAUAUAAUUGUCAAAGGGGAAGUAUUCAAAUCUUUUUACCAACUAUUCAAGGCCAUCAAAAUAAUGUAAUUUUUUAUUUUCCUUAAAAUGUAUACUUUUCCAUGGGACUCAUGUACCUCCUCAAAAUAAAAAAUAUAAAUUUUUUUAGAGAGAUGCCAUUGGAGGCUUGAACAAUUAGGGGAGCCUUGAACAAUUAGGAGAAUUUUGGUUCUUUUGCCCUUUUAAGUGGCAUGGGUCAAAUGAUGAUAAUUCAUUUAGUUAUUCAGGGUUAGUAUCACAAAAUUUCCAAACAAUGAUAAUACCAUUAAGUUUUAGGGUUAGCAAUAGUAUACUAACUUCGUUCCAUUAAAUACAUUUGUUCUAUUUUUGCGAGCUGAAACGACCUAGUGUAUUCUCAUCAAUUGACUCGAGCCACUUAAGUAUGGCCAAAUUAUCAAAAUGCCCCAAAUUGUUUAUGGUUUUUAUCCCUCAGUAAUUUUAAAGAUGUAACUAAGUGAAAUAAAACUUAAAACUUAGAAGUCAUAGGCUUUACGAUGCAAAAGUGAAGCCCCACCUCAAAAUAUUGUUGAGAAAAUUAGCUCUAGGACCAAGACUCACGAUUAUGACCUAAAGAUCCAUUUGCCCUAGAUUAUGAAAUUUGAAGAUAAAAAAAUAGUGCAGAUCUAUAGGACCUGUGAAUACUUAAAAGUGGAAGGUCCAAAUAAUGUGCUAGAAAAAUAAAAUACAUAUUAAAAUAGACGUUCAUCGGGUGAGGAUUUAAGUAGGAACUAAAAAAACAUUACAUAAGUUUGAAAAGAAAGAAAGUUAAUAAUAUGAAACGGGAGUUUUAGAUGGUGGACCAAGCUAGGACCUCUACCUCUUCUAAACCGAUUUGGUCACUGCCGAUUCACAAUCUAGAUCAGUUGUUAUCAAGAGGUUUUCAAACACUGGGCAGAACAAUGGGGUCAUUGGUUUGCAUAGCGUUCCUAGUAAAAUGCAUUCCCUCUUACUACGCGUGGUUCCUUUGCUAAAAUUGGGAUGAAAACAAUCGUUUAGGCCUUUAAGGUUUUCACUUACCCCUAUUUUUAGAUCCAUUUUAGAUAUGUCAUUGCAAAUCAUCAUCAUCAUCAUCCAAAUUUUAUCCCAAUUAUUCGAAAUCGGCUAUAUAAAUCAUGUACUGUAACAUAGGUUCGAAACAUGUCAUUGUAAAUACUUAUGCAAAUAAGUUACUAGUAUUAAACUAUGGAUCUCCUCAAAAGAUUCUCAAAACCUUUUCCAAAAACGAGGCAUACAUCAAAGAAAUAUUGUUUAGGCUGGAUUUCUCAAAAUUUUGAAGGAUGAAAGCAAAUAUUAUCUUUUGAUGAUGCAUAAACUUUGAUACAACACUGCAUGGUUUUAAGCCUUAUGUGGACCGCUGGACAACAACAAACAAGUUGGGGAGGAAAUAGAGGGAGAGAUUUUUGGUAGUAAAUUGGGGUGGACAAGUGGUAAAUUUCAAAGAAAGCCAACUGUCUAUCACACAAAUAAAACGGCAAAAAAAAAUUUAAGUCACAAUGAAAAAGACUUGUUGACCUGCAAAUGGCUCUAAACUUGUGUCCCCUGUGAACUUCCAACGUGUUGCAACGUCCUUUUGUCAACACGUUUGAAUAUACGAAAAUCAGACUUUCAAAUGUGUCGCUCAACUAUUGCUAGACACGCCCGUUUGUUAGCAAGUAGCUUUUUGGAAUUGCUCCGUCUUCCCUCUACUUCUAGUAUAGUGACGGAAAUUUUUUUAUUCUGGUAAUUCAAUGGGGAAGGGAAAUGGGUUCUUUUAAGGGUGGCAUCGGCGAGCCUGGCCUGGCUUCGUUCCCUUAAGGGUCGGCCUAGGCUGGAUUGGGCUAAAGAGGCGCGCCCAGGGCUCUAUCAGGACUGAACCGUUUUCAUAUGACCACUUAUUCUAACAUAUCUUACUUUUUCAAUAUUUACGUAUUUUAUCAUUUUUUUUUUUUUUUCCAAGAACAGGGCUAGGUCAUAGCAGUCCACAUCCUAAAAAGAGUCUAGCUAACUCCAUAACUAUUUGGAAAAACAGGGUCGGGGCUUGUUGUCAUGGGCUUACUUCUUUUUUCACAAUCCACCCGUGCGGCAUCUAGCCCUAAUCCUCACUCGAUCCAGGUUAAAUCAGCUUUCACUUACGAUCAUACAAUCUAGGAAGGGGGGGGGGGGGGGGGGGGUUAGAGGAAAACAAACCACAAAGCACAUACACAAAAAUAGCGAGGGAACCUCAACCCAAUUUCACUAAAAAGUCUAAAUGUGUACAAGCCACGGUUUCCUUUUCACUAAGGCCUGGAAAGGGGUUUUAUAGCCCCACUAUACAUUUGAAACCACAAUACGUGGAGCCCAUGCACCACGCCAUGGGCUGGCUGCACACCAGCCGUCCACCUCACAAUUGGUUAUGGCUGAGGCCUAAGCCUCGGCCACGUCUAGCAUGAGACCUAGUCUCAU
rnacentral:lncRNA from 1 species